GAUGAACGCUGGCGGCGUGCCUAAUACAUGCAAGUCGAGCGAGUGGAUUAAGAGCUUGCUCUUAUGAGGUUAGCGGCGGACGGGUGAGUAACACGUGGGUAACCUGCCCAUAAGACUGGGAUAACUCCGGGAAACCGGGGCUAAUACCGGAUAACAUUUUGAACCGCAUGGUUCGAAAUUGAAAGGCGGCUUCGGCUGUCACUUAUGGAUGGACCCGCGUCGCAUUAGCUAGUUGGUGAGGUAACGGCUCACCAAGGCAACGAUGCGUAGCCGACCUGAGAGGGUGAUCGGCCACACUGGGACUGAGACACGGCCCAGACUCCUACGGGAGGCAGCAGUAGGGAAUCUUCCGCAAUGGACGAAAGUCUGACGGAGCAACGCCGCGUGAGUGAUGAAGGCUUUCGGGUCGUAAAACUCUGUUGUUAGGGAAGAACAAGUGCUAGUUGAAUAAGCUGGCACCUUGACGGUACCUAACCAGAAAGCCACGGCUAACUAUGUGCCAGCAGCCGCAGUAA
rnacentral:rRNA from 1 species